rnacentral:rRNA from 1 species
AGAGUUUGAUCAUGGCUCAGGAUGAACGCUAGCGGCAGGCUUAACACAUGCAAGUCGAGGGGCAGCGGGGUGUAGCAAUACACUGCCGGCGACCGGCGCACGGGUGCGUAACGCGUAUGCAACCUACCCCACUAACAGGGGCGAUAACACUGAGAAAUUAGGUACUAAUUCCCCACUAACAUUCGAAGAGGCAUCUCUUUGGGUUGGAAAACUACCGGUGGUUAUGGAUGGGCGAUGCGUUGUAUUAGCUAGUUGGG